ensembl:lncRNA
GUAUCCUGAGCCCUGAUUCCAUUUCUCCCGACAGUUCCUCCUCCCCGUCCUUCUCGGGGGAGCCUCAGGAGAGCCCAGAUGGUCCGUGUUUCCCUCCUCUGGAGAGAAGGCUGGCCUGGGAGCAGGGGAGCGGCUUAGCUGGCCAGUCCAGUGCAGGCAUUAGCUGAUUCCCCAUCCUCGGGAUGGAGUCGAGGACACGGUGAGGGGUGCAGGGCUCCAUGACCAGCUCUACAGUCAAGGAAAAUGCUCCACGGAGAGGACGGGCCUCUGUGCAGAAAAGAUGAGAGGAGCUCUUGGCAGCAUCGCGCGAGUGCGGAUAAAGAAGAGGAGACAGGCGGGGGCGAGAUGCGGGCGGAGGACGAUGAAUAAAUCCACCGACGUCUGCAGAACAGACGAGCUUUUCUGCUUUCUGAUCCGCAUGCCUCUGAACACUGGGCGUCUGCAGGGGUCCCUCUGAGCGGCCGUUUUAAUUCUGGCCUCUCUGCUCCGUGCGGCUUUCUGGAGCCGUCAUCGAGCGAGCUCCCCGAAGGAGAGACAUCGACAGAGCCGGGAAAGACAAAACUACGGAUCCACGGCCUUCUUGGGGCUGGGAGGGGGUGGCAGGCGGCUGGGGAGCGAUCGACAUUCUAGCAGCUGCAGCCAGUGGGGCACUGGGCAGCCCAGGUCCAGACAAAGAGCCCAGAUCCCUCUUCCCACCCCAUCCUGGCCUCCUCCCCAGAGGCGGGUGGGAGGCUUUCUUGAGCCUUGUUCAAAGUCGGCCUCAUACCUGCUGAGCCCUCCGAAAGCUAGACAAAUGUCAGUGCUUGCUCAGCUGACCUGGGUUGGAUCAAAUUGAGGACUGGGCCGCUCUGCGAGGCUCCAUGGUGCAGCUGCGUCAUAGCAGGGGCUCAGCAAAGACUCUGAAUAGUGAUGAUGAGGACAGACCGGCAGAAAAGCCCAAGGAUGAGCAGCGAAGAACUGCCAGGGACAAGAAACAGCUCUUCCAGGUUAGUGUGAGAGUGACGCCCUGAACACUCUGCCACGCUGCUGGCACUGGGCUGAGGGCCGGGGGCUCCAAGAUGAGCUCCGCUGAGUUCCUGCCUGGGCCACUGGGAGCCAAUUCAAGGUGGCAAGGCUGUCAGAGGUGGAUAUGGGACACUGCAGGAGCCAGAAGAGGGGCCAGCCCAGAGGAGAUGAGCCCUGAGACAAUCCUCCCAAAUAAAGUUAGAAAGAGUGAUGGCUGAGAGAGAUAA